rnacentral:lncRNA from 1 species
CGCGCCUCCACCGCCUUCUUCCAGGAGGAGGGGCCGUGCGGCGCCUGCCCGGGGGCCCUCAGGCCGCAGGCGGGCGCGAGCUUCAGGGAACUUAGGGGGCUCCCGCCUCCCCGGCCACGCGAGCGGGAACAGUCUCCUCCACUCGGAGCGCCACUCAUCAUGCCUUACCUGGAUGAUGCAGAAGUCCCUGGAAACAGAAGGUCUCACCCUUCUUUAUCUUUCUCAUGGCUUUCCAAGGCUCUUUAUCAUGUUACUUUCCUGCUCAGAAUUCUUUAAUGACUUGCCUCAAUGACCAGAUACAUGUGAUCUACAGUCAGCCUUCCAGCCUCAUCAUUCCUCUUCCAUUUCCUCCCCAGAAACACUGUACUUUAUGAAGCUCCUCCAAGACAUCUACAGCUGGGGUUCUCUUCUGGCUCUCCUGCCAAGGCCAAUCAGAUCGCAAUACAAAAAAGUAACACUUUCCAGCAUUCUGUAGAGUCUGAUUUUCUAAACAGUUCUUUAGAUUUUAAUGCAUCUCAAUAAUAGUUAUAAGUAACAUUUUAUUUUUUUCUGUGGCAGAUUAGGCCUCCUGCAAAAUAGUCAUUUUCAAAAAUUGUCUAAGAUUCAGAUGCCGCACCCAAUGUUUAUGCUUUUUGCAGCAAUAUGGUCCUAAUUCAACAUCAUGCAGCGUGCAAAUCAGUGUUUCUUCUAACUUCAACAGUGAUAAAUAUUUAUUAAGCCUCCACUAUGUUCAUGGAACUAUACCAGGUGCUGCUAUAACUAUUUUUCCUUUCCAGGAAAAAUAAAUUCAAAUAUGGAAUAAAAAGCCCAAACUCAUGAAACUGGACUGACUUUGCUUCUUAAAAAUUCAACAUGCUGCAGCUGCAUGCUUAAACCUGGUUCAAACAGGAUGAUGAAAUAAAACAUUAUUAUUGUGGGAAUAUAACACUGUCUAAAUAAAUAGCCAACAUGAAAACUGUCUCUAAAACCCAUAGCAUCUGUAUGUGCAGACUGUAAGUAAGUUAUAUAAUUCCUCCACUAUUCUGUAACAUGGCCAAUUCAGAAUGUCUUACCAUUAAUCUUGAAGACAUUUAAAGAUGUUCACUUUUCUAACUCUUCCCUUUGAAAAUAUAUUUGAACCUUAUUUGCAAUAAAAAUCUCAUAAUAUUGUA